rnacentral:rRNA from 1 species
UACGAAGGGGGCUAGCGUUGCUCGGAAUCACUGGGCGUAAAGGGCGCGUAGGCGGGUUUUUAAGUCAGGGGUGAAAUCCUGGAGCUCAACUCCAGAACUGCCCUUUGAUACUGAAGAUCUUGAGUCCGGGAGAGGUGAGUGGAACUGCGAGUGUAGAGGUGAAAUUCGUAGAUAUUCGCAAGAACACCAGUGGCGAAGGCGGCUCACUGGCCCGGUACUGACGCUGAGGCACGAAAGCGUGGGGAGCAAACAGG